AAUUCAACCGCUGCCAGUGACGACUGAGACGCCCUCCCACGGACUGACUGCCGAGCCAAUUAGGCUGAGGUGGAAGAGAGCCAAGAAGAGCGAAUGGAGUUUAUAACCGAACCAGAAGCGCCUCGAGCCCGCGUGAGGGCCAGAACUGGAAUACAGAAUUGAGGGAGACACUCUCUCGUGCUGACUGCAGUUGCCUGACCCUAAGAGAUCAUGAAGCUAUUUAGACUCCAGAGGAUAAAAUUUGUACAUGAAAUCACCUGAUUUUCUUUUUACUGCUUAGGCUGCUCCUAUUCUCCUUGAUUCUCCCAAUGAGACACUCCAAGAACCUCACACAGGGUGUGACCAUGGAAAGUGUCCGGCUGAUUUCCGAGCUGCAGUCACCUUCACUCUGCACAGCAGCAUUUCCAAGCAAACUGAUGUUCACAGUUCUCCUUCUGGCAGCAAACUACUUGGCCACAGGGAGAGUGGGAUGCUAUAAACUGAGGCUGAUACUGUCAGCAAACGGAUUCCAGCAAUUUCU